AUUGAACGCUGGCGGCAUGCCUUACACAUGCAAGUCGAACGGCAGCACGGGAGCAAUCCUGGUGGCGAGUGGCGAACGGGUGAGUAACAUAUCGGAACGUGCCCAGUCGUGGGGGAUAACGUAGCGAAAGCUACGCUAAUACCGCAUACGAUCUACGGAUGAAAGAGGGGGAUCGUAAAACCUCGCGCGAUUGGAGCGGCCGAUAUCAGAUUAGGUUGUUGGUGGGGUAAAGGCCUACCAAGCCGACGAUCGGUAGCUGGUCUGAGAGGACGACCAGCCACACUGGGACUGAGACACGGCCCAGACUCCUACGGGAGGCAGCAGUGGGGAAUUUUGGACAAUGGGCGCAAGCCUGAUCCAGCAAUGCCGCGUGCAGGAUGAAGGCCUUCGGGUUGUAAACUGCUUUUGUACGGAGCGAAACAGCUCUCUCUAAUACAGGGGGCGAAUGACGGUACCGUAAGAAUAAGCACCGGCUAACUACGUGCCAGCCGCCGCCGUAA
rnacentral:rRNA from 1 species